UAGAUGGCAUUCAUCAAAUAUAUUAUCAUGGAUUUCAACAAAAUUGUUAUAUCGGCUUGUUGGAUGAAAAUGGAUGUUCUUUCGUCACAAACCGCAUUAUACGAAUAAAUCAACGUGAAUAAUGAUGUCCUAAUAGCACUACAUGCUAUUUGCGAUCUAUCGUUUGAAUGGGUGACAAUUCAAAGUUGGCGAAGACACAAACCAGUUCUGGUACCAAUACAAUUUUCCGUCAUAAUUACGGACAAACAGUGUUGUCGUCUCGUCAAAAACAUCAGAGACAAUUUAAAGAAAAAGAAAUAAAACAAACAAUAAUAAAAUACAAAAAUAUUCUUUUACCGAUUACAAAUCGAAGAGUCCAGAUCACGUCAAAGUCAGUCAAGGGGGUUGAAGCUCGGCUAACGCGACAGAGUAUGACGCUCAUCGAUGAUGGAUCCGAUUGAGAAGCCCAGUGGUCGAACAAUGCCGCAAUUAAACGAUACAAUCGUUACGUUGUUCAUUUGGACUGCAAUUUGAAACUGGCGCCUUUUGAAGGAGACCGGCAACCAUUAGACUACCCCCCGUGACAUUCGAGGUAGAGUAUGAUGGUUCCAUCGAGUAGGUAGUGCCUAGACGGGGCUCCACCCAGCACUUAGUUUACGUCGCGAUUGCGGCCCCGGGCACGACCGUUUCCAGGGUACAGUCACGCCCCUGCCAUGCGAGUACUGUACUCCCAUUCGUUGGCCCAUAUCUCAUCUGGUCCAUCGCAUUAGCCUAAUCUGCCAGCAACGUGAACGGAGGAAAAAAAGUAAAAAAAAAAGAAAAAAAAGUACGGCCAUAUCGACGUUGCCACUGACGAGAGAAAUCGUGGCGAGGUGCUGCCACCUUUGUGGCAGGAUCGCGAGGUUGACCGGUUGUAGAAUCGAUCGUUUUUUUUAUUCUUCUCGCAAGCAACAUUGUCUCACCCUCAUAUUUCGACUAGUAGUUCGAUUUUAUUGUCCAAGUGUCUCCGACGUUAAUAUUUCCCAUGCAGUUCACAGUUUGCAGUCGGACCCUGCUUUGCGUCGGCUGGAGACCAGAAUCUCUUCCAUUUGACCGUCUGACUCGCAAGAGGGACCAUUGGAAUGAUAGUUUAUUUCCAUCAUCGAAAAUCCAUUGCAGUUGCCGUCACGUUGCCAAGCUGCUGAUGCUGCAAAUUUUGCUCGGGAGCUGCGGGAUUGAUACUUGAAACUGAAGAGGCUAAAUUAUAUAAAUAGAACAGAAUUAAAAAGAAGAAGA